AGUGAACGCUGGCGGUAGGCCUAACACAUGCAAGUCGAACGGCAGCACAGAGGAGCUUGCUCCUUGGGUGGCGAGUGGCGGACGGGUGAGGAAUACAUCGGAAUCUACUCUGUCGUGGGGGAUAACGUAGGGAAACUUACGCUAAUACCGCAUACGACCUACGGGUGAAAGCAGGGGACCUUCGGGCCUUGCGCGAUUGAAUGAGCCGAUGUCGGAUUAGCUAGUUGGCGGGGUAAAGGCCCACCAAGGCGACGAUCCGUAGCUGGUCUGGGAGAAUGAUCGGCCACACUGGAACUGAGACACGGUCCAGACUCCUACGGGAGGCAGCAGUGGGGAAUAUUGGACAAUGGGCGCAAGCCUGAUCCAGCCAUACCGCGUGGGUGAAGAAGGCCUUCGGGUUGUAAAGCCCUUUUGUUGGGAAAGAAAUCCAGCUGGCUAAUACCCGGUUGGGAUGACGGUACCCAAAGAAUAAGCACCGGCUAACUUCGUGCCAGCCGCCGCAGUAA
rnacentral:rRNA from 1 species